rnacentral:rRNA from 1 species
GAUGAACGCUGGCGGCGUGCUUAACACAUGCAAGUCGAACGGUGAAGCAGGAGCUUGCUCCUGUGGAUCAGUGGCGAACGGGUGAGUAACACGUGAGCAAUCUGCCCUGGACUCUGGGAUAAGCGUUGGAAACGACGUCUAAUACCGGAUACGAGGCGUGGGGGCAUCCCCAACGCCUGGAAAGAACUUCGGUCCAGGAUGAGCUCGCGGCCUAUCAGGUAGUUGGUGAGGUAACGGCUCACCAAGCCUACGACGGGUAGCCGGCCUGAGAGGGUGACCGGCCACACUGGGACUGAGACACGGCCCAGACUCCUACGGGAGGCAGCAGUGGGGAAUAUUGCACAAUGGGCGCAAGCCUGAUGCAGCAACGCCGCGUGAGGGACGACGGCCUUCGGGUUGUAAACCUCUUUUAGCAGGGAAGAAGCGAAAGUGACGGUACCUGCAGAAAAAGCACCGGCUAACUACGUGCCAGCAGCCGCCGUAAAAC